GAUCAUGGCUCAGGAUGAACGCUAGCUACAGGCUUAACACAUGCAAGUCGAGGGGAAACGAUAUUGGAAGCUUGCUUCCGAUAGGCGUCGACCGGCGCACGGGUGAGUAACGCGUAUCCAACCUGCCCAUCACUUGGGGAUAACCUUGCGAAAGUAAGACUAAUACCCAAUGAUAUCUCUAGAAGACAUCUGAAGGAGAUUUAAAAGAUUUUAUCGGUGAUGGAUGGGAAUGCGU
rnacentral:rRNA from 1 species